GGGGCUGUGGCUCAGUGGGAGAGCGUUCGGUUCGCAUCCGAAAGGUCGAGGGUUCGAAUCCCUUCAGCUCCA
rnacentral:tRNA from 1 species